AACGAACGCUGGCGGCAUGCCUAACACACGCAAGUCGAACGAGACCUUCGGGUCUAGUGGCGCACGGGUGCGUAACGCGUGGGAAUCUGCCCUUGGGUUCGGAAUAACAGUUGGAAACGACUGCUAAUACCGGAUGAUGACGUAAGUCCAAAGAUUUAUCGCCCAGGGAUGAGCCCGCGUAGGAUUAGCUAGUUGGUGGGGUAAAGGCCUACCAAGGCGACGAUCCUUAGCUGGUCUGAGAGGAUGAUCAGCCACACUGGGACUGAGACACGGCCCAGACUCCUACGGGAGGCAGCAGUGGGGAAUAUUGGACAAUGGGCGAAAGCCUGAUCCAGCAAUGCCGCGUGAGUGAUGAAUGCCUUAGGGUUGUAAAGCUCUUUUACCCGGGAUGAUAAUGACAGUACCGGGAGAAUAAGCCCCGGCUAACUCCGUG
rnacentral:rRNA from 1 species